rnacentral:lncRNA from 1 species
AAAAAAUUUAGCUUCCCUCUAGACCUUUUUAGUUCCCCCAAACGAUUUUCCUUUUUGUAUGACCUGAUCUGUUCUUUCUCCUCUCUAGUAAUUUUGCAUCUUCUACUUCUAAUUUCACUAAUUUUGAAAUUAUGUAUCACUAAUUCUGUAUCUUCUACUUCUAAUUUCCAUCUCCAAUCAGCCCUAAUUCCUUUUUGAAAAACCUAAUUUGUUCACGAUCUUCCUCUCUUGCCCUAGUUCUACGAUUGAGGGUUUUUUCACUUAGGACUGUACAGAUUCGAUGAGGAUAAGAAGAGAGAAUAAAUAGCAGAUCACAGUUUUUGACUACAGGCAAUAAGAAGAAAAUCUCGGGCUUCUUUUAGGUAAUUAGAUUGCAUGUGUUUCUGUAUAUAUAUAGCUAUAUGUAUACAUUAUACGUAUAUAUAUAUAUAUAUAUAUAUAUAUAUAUAUAUAUAUAUUUGUGAAUUAUCUUAUUUAUAUAUUAAAUUCUUAAAUUCAUGAUAUGUGUUGGCUAUUUUUUUUUUAUAAAAAAACUGAAUUCACAAACAAACUCUUAAGCCGUCUUCAAUUAAAUUGGGGAAAAGCCUUCAUCACUCUAGCAAAAUUGGUUCUAUUUCCUCCUUUUCUCUCUCUUAAUAUAUAUGUAUAUAUGUGUGUCAUGAUACUCAUCUUAUUCCACUUUAUAUUGUCUUUACUAAUUGCAAUAUCAAACCAAUUACAUUCAUUCAACAUCUUAGAUAUGUAAAUCUCUUUAAUGUACCUUUUGAUGAUUUUAUUAUGCAAAAGGAUUAUGAUGUUUGAUUUUCUGUUUUUAUAUAUAGAUGUGUGAUGCUUGUUCAUUUUGAUUUCUAUUUGAUAAUUAUUAGAUUUUUCCAAGUUUUUAUAAAUGCAUGCAACCUGUUCGAUGGAAUUCCUGAACUAAUUUAAUUUGUAUCAAAGAAAAAGGUAACUAAUCCAAAUGACAAAAAUUUAACAUGUGUUGAUGAAACUAUCAUGCCAUUAUUACAACUUAAUGAUUGAUACCUAAUUAUUUAUUAGGCAUCUAUAAUCUUGAGUUAUGUUAACAACUACUUUUAGAUUAUUUUUUUAAUCUUUAUUAAGCUUGUAAUUCUAAUUAUAAUAUGUCAUCAACAAAUGAUAAUAACAGGAUUCUGGUUGGAAUCCUAAUGUUUCUAUUCCAAGUUCUCAAUCGAGCUUACAAGCCACUCUUAGAUGGUAGCAGUGGCCCAAACCAUCCAAUAAACGCAGCAACCAUUGGUUCUACACAUCCAAUAAACGCAACAGCCAUUGCUCUUCUUUGUAAUUGAGAAUAUAUUAGAAUAUUAGUUUGUAACUUGGCACCUUGAUCAAUCAAAUUGCAUGCUUCUUGUUAAAUUUACAUCCCUCACAUGGUUGUUCGUCUCUUAGGAUUUAAUUUAAUGUGACUUUUAG